GACGAACGCUGGCGGCGGGCUUAACACAUGCAAGUCGAACGGGAAGGCCCUUGUUUGGGGGGGUGCGCGAGGGGCGAACGGGGGAGUAACACGUGGGUAACCUGCCCUUGACGUUGGGAUAACUUCAGGAAACUGGGGCUAAUACCGGAUAGGAGCUCCUGCUGCAGGGUGGGGGUGGGAAAGUUUCGGCGGUUGGGGAGGGACUCGCGGCUUAUCAGCUUGUUGGGGGGGUAGUGGCUUACCAAGGCUUGGACGGGUAGCCGGCCGGGUAGGGUGACCGGCCACAUUGGGACUGGGCUACGACCCAGCCUCCACCGGGAGGCAGCGGUGGGGAAUAUUGUACAAUGGGCGGAACCCUGAUGCAGCCCCGCCGCGUGCGGGAAGACGGCAUGCGGGUUGUGAACCGCAUCCGCCUGUGCCGAAGCGUGAGUGACGGUACUGGGUAAAGAAGCACCGGCUAACUACGUG
rnacentral:rRNA from 1 species